rnacentral:rRNA from 1 species
GACGAACGCUGGCGGCGUGCUUAACACAUGCAAGUCGAACGAUGAAGCUGGAGCUUGCUCUGGUGGAUUAGUGGCGAACGGGUGAGUAACACGUGAGUAACCUGCCCUGGACUCUGGGAUAACCCCGAGAAAUCGGAGCUAAUACCGGAUAGGACCUCGGAUCGCAUGAUCUGGGGUGGAAAGUUUUUCGGUCUGGGAUGGGCUCGCGGCCUAUCAGCUUGUUGGUGAGGUAAUGGCUCACCAAGGCGUCGACGGGUAGCCGGCCUGAGAGGGUGACCGGCCACACUGGGACGGAGACACGGCCCAGACGCCUACGGGAGGCAGCAGUGGGGAAUAUUGCACAAUGGGCGCAAGCCUGAUGCAGCAACGCCGCGUGCGGGAUGACGGCCUUCGGGUUGUAAACCGCUUUUAGUAAGGAAGAAGCCGCAAGGUGACGGUACUUGCAGAAAAAGGACCGGCUAACUACGUGCCAGCCGCCGCGGUAAGAC